GAGACUUUAGCAUAAUGGUAAUGCAGUUCGCUCAUAAUGGAUAUUAUAAAGGUUCAAAUCCUUUAGGUCUUA
rnacentral:tRNA from 1 species